AUGGGAAACCCUGUUGAUGCACCUAAACCCUAUCAACGGAUAUGGAAAUCAUGCUCUUUACCAAAGCAGAAAUUCUUCUUCUGGCUCUUGUUACAAGACAGAUUAAACACUAGAGACCUACUAAAAAGGAAGAAUUUCUACAUUGAGACUAGUAAGUGUGAAUUAUGUGAUGAUGAACCUAAUGAACAUUUAAUGCAUCUGUUUUUUAGCUGUGAUUUCACUCAAAACUUCUGGAUGAACAUUGGCUACCAAUGGAACACUGAUCAUAACCUCAUAGAAAUGCUCCUGGAGGGAAGGAAGCAAGAUACACAUGGAUGCUUUAAAGAAUGUCUGAUUGCUGGAUGCUGGAGUCUAUGGAAACACAGAAAUAGCAUAAUUUUUGACAACAAGGUCAAAAAUAUGACAUUCUGUAUUGCCACUUUCAAGGAGCACUUUUGCAUGAUUAUAAAGAAGGCAAAACCAGGAUUGAAAGAGGGCAUGCAAAGCUGGCUAGAUCAUUUGUAG
rnacentral:rRNA from 1 species